UAGCAUAUCAAUAAGCGGAGGAAAAGAAACCAACCGGGAUUGCCUUAGUAACGGCGAGUGAAGCGGCAAAAGCUCAAAUUUGAAAUCUGGUACCUUCGGUGCCCGAGUUGUAAUUUGGAGAGGGCAACUUUGGGGCCGUUCCUUGUCUAUGUUCCUUGGAACAGGACGUCAUAGAGGGUGAGAAUCCCGUGUGGCGAGGAGUGCGGUUCUUUGUAAAGUGCCCUCGAAGAGUCGAGUUGUUUGGGAAUGCAGCUCUAAGUGGGUGGUAAAUUCCAUCUAAAGCUAAAUAUUGGCGAGAGACCGAUAGCGAACAAGUACAGUGAUGGAAAGAUGAAAAGAACUUUGAAAAGAGAGUGAAAAAGUACGUGAAAUUGUUGAAAGGGAAGGGCAUUUGAUCAGACAUGGUGUUUUGUGCCCUCUGCUCCUUGUGGGUAGGGGAAUCUCGCAUUUCACUGGGCCAGCAUCAGUUUUGGUGGCAGGAUAAAUCCAUAGGAAUGUAGCUUGCCUCGGUAAGUAUUAUAGCCUGUUGGGAAUACUGCCAGCUGGGACUGAGGACUGCGACGUAAGUCAAGGAUGCUGGCAUAAUGGUUAUAUGCCGCCCGUCUUGAAACACGGACCAAGGAGUCUAACGUCUAUGCGAGUGUUUGGGUGUAAAACCCAUACGCGUAAUGAAAGUGAACGUAGGUUGGGGCCUCGCAAGAGGUGCACAAUCGACCGAUCCUGAUGUCUUCGGAUGGAUUUGAGUAAGAGCAUAGCUGUUGGGACCCGAAAGAUGGUGAACUAUGCCUGAAUAGGGUGAAGCCAGAGGAAACUCUGGUGGAGGCUCGUAGCGGUUCUGACGUGCAAAUCGAUCGUCGAAUUUGGGUAUAGGGGCGAAAGACUAAUCGAACCAUCUAGUAGCUGGUUCCUGCCGAA
rnacentral:rRNA from 1 species